rnacentral:rRNA from 1 species
GACGAACGCUGGCGGCGUGCCUAAUACAUGCAAGUCGAACGAGAGCGACCGGUGCUUGCACUGGUCAAUCUAGUGGCGAACGGGUGAGUAACACGUGGGUAACCUGCCCAUCAGAGGGGGAUAACAUCCGGAAACGGAUGCUAAAACCGCAUAGGUCUUCGAGCCGCAUGGCUUGAAGAGGAAAAGAGGCGCAAGCUUCUGCUGAUGGAUGGACCCGCGGUGCAUUAGCUAGUUGGUGAGGUAACGGCUCACCAAGGCCGUGAUGCAUAGCCGACCUGAGAGGGUGAUCGGCCACAUUGGAACUGAGACACGGCCCAAACUCCUACGGGAGGCAGCAGUAGGGAAUCUUCCGCAAAGGACGCAAGUCUGACGGAGCAACGCCGCGUGAGUGAAGAAGGUUUUCGGAUCGUAAAACUCUGUUGUUAGAGAAGAACAAGUGCUAGAGUAACUGUUAGCGCCUUGACGGUAUCUAACCAGAAAGCCACGGCUAACUACGUG